UAGCGGGAUAGAGCAGUCUGGUAGCUUGUAAGGCUCAUAAUCUUAAGGUCACAGGUUCAAAUCCUGUUCCCGCCAG
rnacentral:tRNA from 1 species